AGAACGAACGCUGGCGGCAUGCCUAAUACAUGCAAGUCGAACGAAGGCUUCGGCCUUAGUGGCGCACGGGUGCGUAACGCGUGGGAAUCCGCCCCUUGGUUCGGAAUAACAGUUGGGAACGACUGCUAAUACCGGAUGAUGACGAAAGUCCAAAGAUUUAUCGCCAAGGGAUGAGCCCGCGUAGGAUUAGCUAGUUGGUGAGGUAAAGGCUCACCAAGGCGACGAUCCUUAGCUGGUCUGAGAGGAUGAUCAGCCACACUGGGACUGAGACACGGCCCAGACUCCUACGGGAGGCAGCAGUAGGGAUAUGGACAAUGGGCGAAAGCCUGAUCCAGCAAUGCCGCGUGAGUGAUGAAGGCUUAGGUCGUAAAGCUCUUUACCCGAGAUGAAUAAUGACAGUAUCGGAGAACUAAGCCCCGGCUAACCUCCGUGCCAGCACGCCGC
rnacentral:rRNA from 1 species